ensembl:lncRNA
CUCAGAUUGCCUUGUGAAUUGUGUUUUGACAGAUCAUGCAUGUCCUCACAAAUUCCUUUGCUGAAGUUUCAAAAUUCAGAGUAUAGAAGUGUGUGUUUACAAUUUGGACCAUUCCCCCCGUCGAAACAUGGGUCACCCCAUGGGUCACCAGUGCUGCUGUUCUGUGUAGGGACUUUGGGAGUAUUGGUUUACCUUCACAAGUCAUCAAAUCUUUUUGCAAUUGUGCUCCACACUUUAACCAUUUCUUUUGUUCUGUAGUUGGUGCGGCUUUUUGUUCAUCUUUAAGCACAUCAAGUGGUAUUUGCAUAGAGGAUGCAGACAUUAAUGUGUCUACAGUUUGUUGUGCGGCUAAUUUUGCUGCUCGAUCUGCAAAGUUAUUGCCUUGAGUUAUUUCUGAUGUAUCUUUCUGAUGUGCAGCACAUUUGCAUAAUGCUAACUGUUUUGGCAAUGUUAUCACUUGUAACAGUGCUUUCAGAAGAUUUCCAUGUUUCACUGGAUUACCAGUAGAGGUAAUCAUUCCUCUGUUCUGCCAAAUUUUAGCAAAAUGGUGCACUGCUGAGAAAACAUACUGGCUGUCAGUGUGGAUAUUUAUGUCUUGGCCUGCGUGCAACUCACAUGCACGUAUGACUGCUGUUAGUUCUGCACUCUGUGCAGAGUGUGAGGAUGUUAGCGGUUUCGCUUCUACGACUCUAUCUGCUGUAGUUACUGCAUAACCUACACAGUUUCGUCCUAGGCUAUUUUUAGACGCUGAGCCGUCUACAAAAAUGUCAGUGAAACCAGCUUGUGGUGUGCUGUAGAUGUCAGCUCGUGGCUUUGUCUCCUCAUCUAACUUUGUCAUACAGCAGUGCGGAUAACCUUCGUCGGGUCAUCUGGCUGGACCCCAACGCCGUGGACCAGGCCCGGCCUGGAUACGAAUUUACGCCCAGGGCUUUCACCUCUACCUAGAGAGGGCUGUCGACAGACUUCGGUUCUGGCUUUCCCACGACGUCAGGAUGCAGCAAUCAGACCUUAUUGGAG